GGUUUCACUGUUAUCUGUGAGACUAACAUAUUGACAUUUGAGUUUUGAGUUCUAAAUUUCUACAGGAGAAUCAUGAGUAAUUACAGUGGCAGUUCUUCUGUUGAUCCUGACUACAACAUGGAAGAGACAAAGUCGUCGUCUUCAAGGCCAAAGAGAGAACAGAGAGAAUAUGAUAGUUUCAGAAGAAAAGCUGAGAUAGCCCGAGGGAAAAGAGCGAUGACAGAGAGGUAUGAGCUUAUAGAUGAGGAUCUGGAAGACGAGUACAUGCCUGAGCAUACUCGCAGAGCCACCAAACUUCUGUACAAACCUGAUGUAUUGCCUGCUGAGGAAUAUAUUAGGCUCUUCAAACUGAAUGAGUUCUGCAGAACGAGGUACCCUUGCUCGACUACACUUGCAUAACUCGGAUUGUUAGAGGAUGUUCAGCACAUGUACCAGAGUUGUCAUCUUGACACUCUGAUGGCGUAUCCAUAUGUGGCAUAUGAAGAAGAGACAAUUCAGUUCCUCUCCACACUGCAAGUGGAACUUUACCAAGGUAUGACCUCUGAUGAAUUGGAUUGCGAAGGAUUGGGAUUCUAGCGAUUCUCUGUGUAUGGUCAUGAGUAUAGGUUAUCAAUCAAACGCUUGGAAGAAUUGUUUGGUUUCCCUAGUGGAAGGGGAACUAAGCCCAAGUAUGACAGAGAAGAGUUGAAAGACUUGUGGAUCACCAUUGGCAGCUCUGUACCGCUGAAUUCUUCCAGGUCAAAGAGCAAUCAGAUACGUAGCCCUAUCAUCAGGUACUUCCAGCGUUCUAUAGCCAAUGUACUCUACUCCCGAGUGAUCAUAGGGACUGCUACUAAUUCUGAUAUGGAGAUGAUCGCUAUGGCUUUCAAGGGAACUCUUCGCCAAACUAAGAACGGCAUGUCUCUCCAAGGUGAAAUCGAUGACACACCUCUCUCUGUACUUCUUCUGAUCCAUCUGUGUGGAUACAAGAGCUGGGCUGUCAGCAAUAACCACAAGAGAGCACGAGGCGCUCUGUGCAUAGGUGGCGUUGUGACACCGAUUCUGAUCGCUUCUGGAGUCCCAAUCACAUCUGAUGGACUCGAGCCACGAGCAAUGGAUAUCGAGCAUCUACGUCACUACAAACUCCUGGAGUUCGCAAUGGUUGGCGACUUGCACCAGUUCAGGUUUGAGCACUCUACAGAUAAGAGAGCUAGCAUCCUUCUCCCUAGCCCUGAGGUUACACGGAUAAUAGAGGGAUAUAACAUUGAUUUUCGGCCAGAGAUUGGACGCCUCUACUAUGAGAACGCUCCGCCAUUGGAUGAAGAUGAUCUUCUAGAAGAGGCUGCUGAGGAUGGGAUGGAUGAAGACAGAGCAGUGGAGUUCGACACUAGCAUGUAUCACUUUGGUGAACAUGUGCCUCCAGCAAAGGAGAGCAAGAGCUUGAGUGAAGCUCAUAGGAACAAAAGUAAACUGCAGAAGUGGUGCAAGAAGCAGGACAAGCUGCUCGCCAAGUGUUUCAAGACUAUCAAGUUUCUGACAGAUAAGCUGAGUUGUUCCUGCUCCACUACUGCUAUUCCACAGGGACAACCUCCUUUAGAGAUGCCAUCGAGGAGAUUGGAUGAGCCUCAGCACAGGCCUGAGCUUAGUCAGCAGAGAGUCUCACAUGUCCCGGCUAGGCAUUCGUCAUUCGAGUCCCGGGAGCACAAGAGAAGAAGGAAGGCUACACUCACUCGAUCUAGCAGCAGAUCACGCCUAAUUCACUCGAGGAGAUCACUCGACCGCGGUGCUGGCCUCAACAGAAGGAGAGAGGUCGAGUAUCCUCAGAGCGGUGUUGGCCGCCACAGAGCUGAUGAGGUCGAGUACCCACCUGCUGGAGCUGAUACGGAACAGGGCGGUUCGUCUAUGGCCUGGGAGCAAUCACAGGCAGCCCUUGACGACCAACUACGUUCAUUCUUCGACUGAGGUAAGCGCCUCACUUCACCAUUGUAUUAUAUCAUCUGUUGUGAUUUGUUCUUCAUUUUGUUUCUGUGAUUGGAUUUGUCCUGAGUACUCUCUUCUAAGUUUAUUCACACAGUGGACUGUGUGAUUUAAGUUUGGAGGAGGGCUCAGGAAGUGUGUGUUGAAUUGUGUAUAUUUUUGAGUCUAUGGCAUAGAAAAACCUUGAGACGAAAAAAAAAAAAUUGAAAAAUUUCAGAAAAUGAUUUCAAAAAAAAAAGAGUGUUCAUGUAGUUGGAUUACAUUUAGGAUCGAGUCUAUAGUGUUUCAUUUUUGGAUUGUUGAAUAUGCAUAGGGACAAUGAUGAGAUAGCCUUGUAAGCAUUUUGGUUCACCGGAUAAACUCAGUGCCCUCGUUGCUAGUUGUAUGUUGCAUAGUCAAUGAAUUUGAAAUAAAACUGACCCAUGCCUAGAUUACUCUACUCGACCACACUGUCAUGAUCUGAUACCAUUCCCUAUCAAUUUAAACCUGAAUCUGAUCUUUAAUUGUCAUGUCUGCAUCAAAUUUGAACUCAUGGAUACCCUAAAAUACUUGGAUUUUCUUAUUCAUUUUGAUCAGUCUUGUUAAUCCAAGUAGCUGACUCUCCUUAUUAGAGCAGUUAACCCAAACUCAAACCUAAACUUUCUUUCAAGCCCUAUAUCACUUGUGAGUGUUUGUGAGGUCUUAUUCCGAUUAAGCUUAGUAAAAAGUGUUAGGUUCGUAACGACAGAGAUAGUGUCUCAUGUAGUUCUAGUUUGCAUUUUUCGGACUAGAUAGGAUUAAGUGGGCGCUUAUACUUUGGGUUGGGAUGUGUUUAAAAGAAAAGAAGGGGUUGAUUCAUUGAUGAGAAAAGGUAAAGGACUCUAGGUGAAGUAAGCUAAAGAAGCAGAAAAAGUCUAGUAAAGGUUUUGGGAUUUAUAAAGAAAAGAAAGAGUUCUUUUUAGCUAUUGAAGAUGGGCAAUAGCCCUCGGUUUUAAAAUGUUAAAAACGGGAACCUUAGUUGUUAAAGAAAUCCAAAAUCAGCUAGAUGUAUCAAAGUGUUGAGAAAACUUCUCCUAGAGUUAAGAGAAAAGAAAAGAAUGGUUAGAAAAAGGGCAUAAAGGAUUCAAGAAUUCAAAGGGUAGAGUUAGGUUCUUAUAUUGGGAUUGGAGAUGGGAUUACCAUUAGAGCUUCAUUUGAUAUACUUUGGGUAGAUGAGAUCUUAUCUCUGUAUGCAUAGCUUGGGAUUUACCUUUAGCAUUCUAAUAAAGCUUAAUCAUUUUUUGAGAGAUCCCCUUUUACUGAAGCCUAUUCUGUAAGAGACCAUCUUUGUCUCUUGACCUUUUACCUUAGCCAAAUGAGUUCAUUGAUGAUGCAUUGCUUGAUUCACGUUCCAGAACUAAUGAAUGUUAAUGGGAUUGGUAGAUUUGAAAACAUGUGUAGGUCGAGCAUAUGAGUCGGAUUGAUUGAUAAUAAGGCAUGGCUAACAUUUUUGAGUAGAAUUGGAUCAUAUCGCAGCUUAGAACUAUCAACUUGGACAUUGAUUUCAUCUGGUUUAUCUUGUGCUUUGGCUUUGAGUCCCUGCUUUCAAACCUCACCUCCAGCUUGUUCUUAGUUGUUUGCUUGAGGCCAAGCAAAGACUAAGUUUGGGGGAGUUGAUAAGUGUGUAUUUUGCAUGUUUUGACCAUCCAUUUGUCAUCACUUUAGCACCAUAUCAUCACUGCUU
rnacentral:sRNA from 1 species